UACGUAGGGUGCGAGCGUUGUCCGGAAUUAUUGGGCGUAAAGGGCUCGUAGGCGGUUUGUCGCGUCGGGAGUGAAAACUCGGGGCUUAACCCCGGGCCUGCAGUGGGUACGGGCAGACUAGAGUGCGGUAGGGGAGACUGGAAUUCCUGGUGUAGCGGUGAAAUGCGCAGAUAUCAGGAGGAACACCGGUGGCGAAGGCGGGUCUCUGGGCCGUAACUGACGCUGAGGAGCGAAAGCAUGGGGAGCGAACAGG
rnacentral:rRNA from 1 species